GACGAACCGAGCGAACGUUGUUCGGAAUCACUGGGCUUAAAGGGCGCGUAGGCGGGUGCUCAAGUCCGGGGUGAAAUCCUCCAGCUCAACUGGAGAACUGCCUCGGAUACUGGGUGCCUCGAGGGUGGUAGGGGUAUGCGGAACUAUCGGUGGAGCGGUGAGAUGCGUUGAUAUCGAUAGGAACUCCGGUGGCGAAGGCGGCAUACUGGACCACAUCUGACGCUGAGGCGCGAAAGCCAGGGGAGCAAACGGG
rnacentral:rRNA from 1 species